rnacentral:tRNA from 1 species
GGGGAUUUAGCUCAGCGGUAGAGCGCUUGCCUAGCAAGCGCAAGGCCCUGGGUUCCAGUCCCCA